UACGUAGGGUGCGAGCGUUGUCCGGAAUUAUUGGGCGUAAAGAGCUCGUAGGCGGUCUGUCGCGUCGAUCGUGAAAACUUGGGGCUUAACCCUGAGCUUGCGGUCGAUACGGGCAUGACUGGAGUUCGGCAGGGGAGACUGGAAUUCCUGGUGUAGCGGUGGAAUGCGCAGAUAUCAGGAGGAACACCGAUGGCGAAGGCAGGUCUCUGGGCCAUUACUGACACUGAGAAGCGAAAGCAUGGGGAGCGAACAGG
rnacentral:rRNA from 1 species